UACUCUGUUUCCCCUUCCAGUUCAAUAGUCAUAAAGAACAUCAGUAAUGUGGGGUGUGGAGAGAAAAAUCUAUAAGGAUAUAAACCACAAUGUUAACUCUGGCUCCUUCAGGGGGGUCUCUCCUAUUUUAUCUCAUAAGCUUCAAUAA
rnacentral:lncRNA from 1 species